rnacentral:rRNA from 1 species
UACGGGAGGCAGCAGUGGGGAAUAUUGGGCAAUGGGCGAAAGCCUGACCCAGCAACGCCGCGUGAAGGAAGAAGGCCUUCGGGUUGUAAACUUCUUUUAUCAAGGACGAAGAAAGUGACGGUACUUGAUGAAUAAGCCACGGCUAACUACGUGCCAGCAGCCGCGGUAAU